UAUAAUUUUCUGUUUUCUCUCAUCUGGAGUAUACUCCUUUGAAACGUUGCCAAUGGUGGUGUCCGUUCUGCCUAUACUAUCACUGACAUGUGGGACCGACGACGUUAUCCCGGACUUGGCCGAUCGGGAGUCCCUUGACGCCCUCUGAAAAACCCCACGUCGCUGACGCUGCCGAUGUCGUCGUGCCGAAGUCGCCAUCGCCAUCGCGUCGGAAUCCGCCGCCGUCGUCGUCGCUUGAGCAGGGCGGAGAGGCGGCGGGAUCCGCACGAGGAGGAGAGGCUACCGGAUCCGUCCCUCCCGUCAUCGCCGCCGACGGAUCCGCGCGCAUCGGUGGCGGAGAGACGGCGGGAUCUGCGCGGGAGGGGGAAAGGCCGCCGGAUCCGCGCGUAUGGUGGGCAGCCUGCUUGGAGAUGGCGACGGCCUUAUGGCGCAGAAGCCCGACGAGGUUGAGGCAGAGCAGCGUGGUGGAGGACGGGAUGCGCUGUGGCGUCGCGCCGUGGUUGCGGUGGUGCAGCGUGGAGGACGGGAGCACGCGGCGUGAUACGGAGGCUGCGGCUGUGGCGGCGGGGAGGCGAGGAGCGCUGUGCAAUCUGGACUGAGAUUAGGGUUUCUUAUGCGCAUACAAAAUGGGCCACCGUUGGUGUUUAGUUUCUUACAUGGGCUUUGACCAUGUUGGAAUGAGUCCAUUAAGGGAUCUUUUACCCGGGAGGUUUUUCUGUUCACCGUAGCAAUCGGCAUCUUCCUCGCACUCGCGGCACUCACCAAGGUCAUCACCAACGGCUGGCCGAUGGUCUGCAGGACACUCUUGGCGCCUUUCUCUGUCUGUGUGAUCAUUCUCCUAGCAGCUGGAGCGAUUGCAGCCACCACCAUGUCAAACCAUCCUACAUUGCAUUUCCUGUCAAAAGUUGCAGCCAGAGUUUCCCUCAUCUUUGGUAUCAUGAUACUGGAGGUCCCGUUUAUUCAGAUGGCUGCAGGAUUGUCUGCCCAUGUUUUCGCGCCGAUAUUUAUGAUGGCUACGUUAGUUGUACUGGGGUACAUCUGGUGGCGGAGCGAGCCUGACGUCGUGCGCGCGUUGUACUCACCGUUUUGCUCAUGUUUCUUGCGUAGCCAUCGUCAGGUUCAGGUUACUCCUCAGGCCGCUGACUACAAUGUGUGAGGCAGAAGAACUGAAGAUAUCAAACUACAGGUGUACGAUGUUACAUUAGAUAUGUGAAAGUUGUGUUUUGAUUUAUUUCCACUUUUCCGGUUAACUACACAAGGUGGUGCGCUAGACGAUCUGGGUUCGACGCAUCACCCCUUCUAAUUAUUUAAUUUUACGUCAUUACCUAAUAUUCGUGUUUCUUUAUUUAUUUCCAUUUCAAUGAGAUUGUAAUUCAUUUCUGAAUCA